rnacentral:rRNA from 1 species
UACGUAGGGUCCGAGCGUUGUCCGGAAUUACUGGGCGUAAAGAGCUCGUAGGUGGUUUGUCGCGUUGUUCGUGAAAACUCACAGCUCAACUGUGGGCGUGCGGGCGAUACGGGCAGACUUGAGUACUGCAGGGGAGACUGGAAUUCUCGGUGUAGCAGUGAAAUGCGUAGAUAUCGAGAGGAACACCAGUGGCGAAGGCGAGUCCCUGGACAACACCUGACACUGAGGCACGAAAGCUAGGGGAGCAAACAGG